GGUGGUGGUGGCUCAGCGGUUAAGACUUUGGACAAAGACUUCUGAUCAGAAGGUUGUGAGUUCAAAUCUCAGCACCACCG